rnacentral:rRNA from 1 species
AUGAUCAUCAGUUGCCCCCACCAGCGGGUCGUCAUUUCGGCGGGAGCCGUGCUGAUCGCCGUCGUGCUGCUGCUGGCUGGUCCGGUCGCCGGCGCGUGCGGCGACGGGGAAAGGGAGGCGCUGCUGGCCUUCCUCGACGCGCUCUCGCCGCGGGCUGGCGAUAACAUCGCCGCGUCCUGGCGGGGCUCGCCGGACUGCUGCGCGUGGGAGGGCGUGGGCUGCGACGACGCGGGAGGCGGCGGCGGCGCGGUCACCAGCGUCUCCCUCCCCGGCCGCGGCCUCGGCGGGACGAUCUCGCCGGCGGUGGCCAGCCUCCCCACGCUCGCGCACCUCAACCUCUCCGGCAACGGCCUCGCCGGCCCGUUCCCGGCCGAGCUGCUCGCCCUGCCCAACGCCUCCGUCGUCGACGUCAGCUACAACCGCCUCUCCGGCGCGCUCCCUGACUUACCGGCCGCCGCCGGACGCGCCCGCCUCCCGCUGCAGGUGCUGGACGUGUCGAGCAACCAUCUGUCCGGGCGGUUCCCGUCCGUGCUCUGGCGGUUCACCCCGGGCCUCGUGUCGCUCAAUGCCAGCAACAACAGCUUCGCCGGCGCGAUCCCGUCGCUCUGCGUCAUCUGCCCGGCGCUCGCCGUCCUCGACGUCUCCCUCAACGCGUUCGGAGGGCCCGUCCCACCCGGGUUCGGGAACUGCUCGCGGCUGCGGGUCCUCAGCGCCGGCCGCAACAACCUCACCGGCGAGCUCCCCGACGACCUCUUCGACGUGACGUCGCUGGAGCAGCUGGCGCUCCCGUCCAACCGGAUACAGGGCAGGCUCGAUCGCCUGCGGAUCGCCAGGCUGAUCAACCUCGUCAAGCUCGACCUGACCUAUAAUGCGCUCACCGGCGGGCUGCCGGAGUCCAUCGGCGAGCUCACCACGCUGGAGGAGCUCCGGCUCGGGAAGAACAACCUCACCGGCACCAUCCCGCUGGCGAUCGGCAACUGGACCAGCCUCCGCUACCUGGACCUUCGGUCGAACAACUUCGUCGGGGACCUCGGGGACGUUGACUUCUCCCGCCUCGCCAAUCUCACCGUCUUGGACCUGGCCUCCAACAACCUCACCGGCACCAUGCCGCCCAGCAUCUACUCCUGCACGUCCAUGACGGCCCUGCGCGUGGCCAACAACGAGAUCUCCGGGCAGGUGCCGCCGGAGAUCGGCAACAUGCGAGAGCUGCAGUUCCUCUCGUUGACCGUGAACUCUUUUACUAACAUCAGCGGCAUGUUCUGGAACCUCCAGGGCUGCAGGGACCUCGCCGCGCUGCUCGUGUCGUACAACUUCCACGGCGAGGCCCUGCCGGACGCCGGCUGGGUCGGCGACCACGUCAGCCACGUCCGGGUAAUCGUCAUGGAGAAUUGCGGUCUGACGGGCCAGAUACCGUCGUGGCUGUCCAAGCUGCACGGCCUCAACGUCCUGAACCUCGGCGGGAACCGCCUCACCGGCCCGAUCCCGAGCUGGCUCGGCGCCAUGAAGAGGCUCUACUACGUGGACCUGUCGGGCAACCAGUUCGCCGGAGAGAUACCGCCGUCGCUGAUGGAGCUGCCGUUGCUGACGUCGGAGAAGGCCAUGGCGGAGUUCAAACCGGGCCAUCUGCCGCUCGUGUUCACCCUGACGCCGAACAACGGCGCGGAGGUCAGGACGGGCCGCGCGUACUACCAGAUGUCCGGCGUCGCCGCCACGCUCAACCUCAGCGACAACGACCUCUCUGGCGCGAUCCCGCGAGAGGUCGGGCAGAUGAAGAUGCUGCAGGUGCUCGACCUCAGCCACAACAACCUCUCCGGCGGCAUCACGCCGGAGCUCAGCGGCCUCGCCAAGAUCGAGAUUCUUGACCUCCGCAUGAACCGUCUGACGGGCUCGGUCCCGCCGGCGCUCGCCAAGCUCCACUUCAUCUCCGACUUCAACGUUGCGAACAACGAUCUCGAGGGCCCGAUCCCGACGGGCGGGCAGUUCAAUGCGUUCCCGGCAGCGAAUUUCGCAGGGAACCCGAAGCUUUGCGGCCAGGCGAUCUCGGUCCGCUGCAGCAAGAAAAGCGGAAUGGCGCCGGGCAAGUCUUCGCCGUCCAAGACCAUGGGCAAGAGACUGCUUGUUGCCAUCGUUCUUGGAGUCUGCUUCGGCGUGGUUGGCGUCGUCGUCUUGACCGGACUCGCCGUGAUCGCCAUCAGAAGGUUCAUAUCGAACGGGUCCGUCAGCGACGGCGGCAAGUGCUCGGAGUCGGCCCUGUUCGACUACUCCAUGUCGGAUCUGCACGGCGACGAGUCCAAGGACACGAUCUUGUUCAUGUCCGAGGAGGCCGGCGGCGGCGACCCGACGAGGAAGAGCUUCACGUUCGUGGACAUCCUGAAGGCGACCAACAACUUCAGCCCGGAUCAGAUCAUCGGAACGGGGGGCUACGGCCUGGUGUUCCUAGCGGAGCUGGAGGGCGGCGUGAGGCUGGCCGUGAAGAAGCUCAACGGCGACAUGUGCCUGGUGGAGCGGGAGUUCCGGGCGGAGGUGGAGGCGCUAUCGGUGACGCGGCACGAGAACCUCGUCCCCCUCCAGGGCUUCUGCAUCCGCGGCCGGCUCCGGCUGCUGCUGUACCCGUACAUGGCCAACGGCAGCCUCCACGACUGGCUGCACGACCGGCGGCCGGAGCAGCCGGAGCUGGACUGGCGCGCGCGGCUACGGAUCGCGCGGGGCGCCGGGCGCGGGGUGCUGCACAUCCACGAGGCGUGCACGCCGCAGAUCGUGCACCGGGACAUCAAGUCGAGCAACAUCCUGCUGGACGAGUCCGGCGAGGCGCGGGUGGCGGACUUCGGGCUGGCGCGGCUCAUCCUGCCGGACCGGACGCAUGUGACGACGGAGCUGGUGGGCACGCUGGGGUACAUCCCGCCCGAGUACGGGCAGGGGUGGGUGGCGACGCUGCGGGGCGACGUGUACAGCUUCGGCGUGGUGCUGCUGGAGCUGCUCACCGGGAGGCGGCCGGUGGAGAUGAUGGCGGCGGCGGGGCAGCCGAGGGACCUCGUCGGGUGGGUGACGCAGAUGCGGUCGGCCGGGAGGCGCGCCGAGGCGCUGGACCCGCGGCUGAGGCAGGGGAGCCGGCCGGGCGACGAGGCGCAGAUGCUCUACGUGCUCGACCUCGCCUGCCUCUGCGUCGACGCCAUCCCGCUCAGCCGGCCGGCGAUCCAGGAGGUGGUCAGCUGGCUCGACAACGUCGACACCAUCGGCGCGUCCUGA